rnacentral:rRNA from 1 species
UACGUAGGGUGCAAGCGUUAAUCGGAAUUACUGGGCGUAAAGCGUGCGCAGGCGGUUUUGUAAGUCUGUAGUGAAAGCCCCGGGCUCAACCUGGGAAUUGCGAUGGAGACUGCAAGGCUUGAAUCUGGCAGAGGGGGGGAGAGUUCCACGUGUAGCAGUGAAAUGCGUAGAGAUGUGGAGGAACACCGAUGGCGAAGGCAGCCCCCUGGGUCAAGAUUGACGCUCAUGCACGAAAGCGUGGGGAGCAAACAGC